AGCGUGCGUGCGCGCGCAGCUUGGGAAAAGCUAGUCUGAGAAGCAGAGCCUCUGCGUGUGGGCCCAAGGGGAAGAAUGGAAUGGGGAAGGGUUAUGAGUCCCCGGGGCUGAGAAAAUUGGAAUCCACAAACAAACAAACAAUCAGACCCUGGACAGAGGAGACCCACAACCUCAGACCUGGCUCUGUCUGCCCCAGGCAUUAUGCUAUCUUGUAUUUCAAAGAUGAAGACUCAAACCAGAGAAGUUAUGACCUGCUCAGGAUUAGAUGACCUUCUCUGACUUAUUUCUUUUCCCCACAUCAAUGCUCACUGUCUCAGACCUCUGUCAGGUUGUCUGGCUGGAAUCCUGCAUCCCUGGCCUCAGCUAGAAGGUCAGCUGGAUUUUGGCUAAUCUUGUCGGGAUCAGUGGAACUUGGCUCCAGCCAUGAGUUGAGUUCACAUCUCUCAUUCCUCCGUGACUAGUGGGCUGCCCAAGACAUCAUCUUCACAAGGUGGUAGCAGAAGCCCAAGAGAGCAGACCCAGCACUGAAAUGGCAUCGCUAUGUCCAGAGCACAGUGGAUCCCAUUGGUGAUUGUUUUUCGAGGAAACUGAGCAGAUGGAGGGGGAAGGCCAUUGAUAUCUGCAUGACGGACUUGGAAAGGGUCCAGAAAAAGCCAGAGAAUCCCGUGGUGAAGAUUUUCACUUCCGGCGCCCCUCACCUUUGGAUGGGUGAUGCUCCUAGCCUUCAUGUACCAGUCACCAUAUUUACUGCAGAAAUUCUCAGUCUCAUCCAUCACUAUGUGUCUGAUCUUUGAGAACUCCCCUUGCAUGAAGGUUUUCCGGGUCACAGCUUGGCAGGUGGUUUGCUGGCUGUAAGGAUGAAGGAGAAAAUAGGGCUUCAGCCAUAUAAACAAAGGAAAUACCAUGCAUUUAUUAUUCUCUGGAUUAGCAUUAGAGACUGGUUCUCAUCUGGAGACUGAUUCACUGAUUCAAUAACUACAAAAAUGCUCUACUUACAAGUUACCUGAUAGACAGAAUACAUAAUUGCAAACCCUACUCUUUGGGGUUAUUAAGUUGAAUCUGCAUGCGAUACUUUUGAAAUGAACCCAGGUAGGAGAUUUUAUUAUUUCUACCAUAGUCCAUUUCUGCUGCUUGACAAUCCCUGAAGGUAAAUUCCUUACAUCUAAAGGAAAUAUCAAAAGGAAUUUACACUUGUUACUACUAUUUCUUUACUUUCUGUCUUUUUUAGAGCUGGAGAACAGUCACCUAGAGGCAUAUCAUAAUUUUCGUAUGCAAAAGAGGUAUGGGCUCAUACAAGUUCCUCUAAAGAAAAUCCUAUUUCCCCACUUACUUGUAGUACAAAAGCAGAAGCCUCUUUAGAUUUUGGUAAGGAAAACAUUAAGAGGUUGCUGAGUUCCAUGACAUGUCAAGUAGGGUACCAAGUCUGCAGGGUCUUUGCCUCUAUGGAGCUACCAAUCCUACUUACUUAGCUCAAUUUUCCUUUAUAGUAUGUUUUAGCAUACGUGUGUGUGUGUGUGUGUGUGUGUGUGUGUAUACUUUUUUUCUUAAAAACAAACUUGGUUGUUUCUUGCCACCUCUAAUUUGGAAUCAAGUCAUAUCACCCAUCCCUGCAGAUGUGGGACUGCAUGUGCAGUCCCUGGGGCUUUACUCCCUAUGUCCUGAAUCAUAACUAUUCACGUUCCUCUCUUCCAGCUUGGACUCUGUAGACUUCUUGAAGAAAAGCAUUGAUUCUUAGUCAUCUCCGUAACCCACUCACAUUAAGUUCAUAGAUGUUUGUUGAAUUGAAUUUGUCUUUUGACUGGGGAUAUUUAAAAACUUAUACCUGGGGCUUCCCUGGUGGCGCAGUGGUUGAGAGUCCGCCUGCCGAUGCAGGGGACACGGGUUCAUGCCCCGGUCUGGGAAGAUCCCACAUACUGCGGAGCGGCUGGGCCGGUGAGCCAUGGCCACUGAGCCUGCGCGUCCAGAGCCUGUGCUCCGCAAAGGGAGAGGCCACAACAGUGAGAGGCCCACGUACCGCAAAAAAAAAAAAAAAAAAAACCUUAUACCUGUAAAGCGUAAUAAAGAACGUAGCCUUUAACACAGUUUACAAGAUCCUUCAUAGUCUGGCAUCUGCCUCCUUUGCAAGUUCAUCAUCUGUCGCAUACCCACAGUCCCUCAUGGCUCCAGACAGACCUACCAUUAUAAUUCUCUAAUCUCCAUGCCUUUGCACUUGCUGUGCCCUUUGCCUUUAUUCACUUCUCCUACUCACUUCUUAAGAAGGAAGUCAAGAUCUCCUUCACUGGGGAGUAUUUGCUGACCAAUAUCCAGCCCAAGUUAAGCAUAUCUUUAGUAUCAUAAUAGUUACACAACACUCCCAUUGCUUAUUUUUCUCUUUGUCUCUCUUAUUGGGCUUUACGGCAAGGUCUGCAAUAUGUUUUUCUCCUCUAACACUAAAUGUACACAGUACCUAGCAUAUAAACAGUGUUCAAAAAGAUUAGUUGAAUAAAUAAGCAAGUCAAAAUUAAAAGCCCUCAGUUGCUGGAUUGACUAACAACCAAUUUCUUUUACUAAAUCGAAAGCUAAAGAUUUAAAUCAGAAGCAAAUGUGCAUGUUUUCUAAAAUUAUUGACUCAGAACAAGUCAAACAAGUAAAAAUAUUUUAUAAACGAAAUAAAUGGUAUUUAAAUUCAAGUUCCCAUUAGGUGUAAUGUCUAAUUGACUGAAAGACCCUAUGACUUUAAAGCACUAAAUAUCAAGCAAAAAGUAUAUGUGAAACAAGAUAGGUUCGUUUCAACCUUUCUUAAAUUUAAGGCCAUAGAUUGUGGGGGGAAAAUGUUUCUAGUUAUAUAAACUUAAAGUUAUGCAUAUGUAGCUAAUUUCUAAUGAGAUGUUUAAGCCUGAACAUUGCAAAGUGCCGUUUUCUAGCUCAACUACUUGAUCACUUGCAAAUGUGUAUAUAGUUUGGGCUCUUGUCCAUAUGCAGCAAAGGCAUUGCAAAAUCUUAAA